UCAUCACCUCUCAGGAUACAGUCAUGAUUCAGAUAGUUCAACUGACAUGUCUCUUAACCCUGCUCAAUAAAGGGUCUUCUGCAGUCAUCACAGUGGACCAGUCUCCUGCAGUCAUCUCUGCCCAGCCUCAGGACACUGUCAAGAUACUCUGUAGAGCAUCUGAACAGAUUGAUCGCGACAUGGAGCUUUUCCAGCUCAAGCCUGGACAGCCACCUAAACUGCUGAUUUACAACAGUGACAGUAGAUUCACUGGGACUCCAGGUCGUUUCAGUGGUACGUACUCAGGAGCUGACCACACCUUCACCAUCACUGGAGUCCAGUUGGAGGAUGAGGCUGAUUACUACUGCCAGCAGAGUGAAGCGCUCCCGUUCACACAGUGAAAUAUCGCCGUUCAAAAACCUCCUGCUCUUCUCUCCACUUCACUGAU